rnacentral:rRNA from 1 species
UACGGAGGAUCCGAGCGUUAUCCGGAUUUAUUGGGUUUAAAGGGUGCGUAGGCGGCCUAUUAAGUCAGGGGUGAAAGACGGUAGCUUAACUAUCGCAGUGCCUUUGAUACUGAUAGGCUUGAAUGUACUUGAGGUAGGCGGAAUGUGACAAGUAGCGGUGAAAUGCAUAGAUAUGUCACAGAACGCCAAUUGCGAAGGCAGCUUACUAAAGUAUGAUUGACGCUGAGGCACGAAAGCGUGGGGAUCAAACAGG